AACGACUCUCGGCAACGGAUAUCUCGGCUCUCGCAUCGAUGAAGAAAGUAGAGAAAUGCGAUACUUGGUGUGAAUUGCAGAAUCCCGUGAACCAUCGAGUCUUUGAACGCAAGUUGCGCCCCAAGCCUUCUGGCCGAGGGCACGUCUGCCUGGGUGUCACAAA
rnacentral:rRNA from 1 species